UCUGCAAUUCCUGGUUAACCUCCAGGAAGGACUUCCCUCUCUGUCAUUUUCAGUUUUUCAUAUUAUCCUAUUUUGAAAAAACAUUUCCUCGGGAUUCUGUUUUUCAGGCAGAAGACCUGGUUACAUGACCAGUCUGAGAUUGACCACGUUCUUGUUCUCAACACAGUCUUUCCUGAACCUUCCUGUGAUCCAGCUUUUCUCCCUUACUAUGCUUACUAUGCUUACUGACAUGUUCUCCAUAUGCACUUGACCAGCCAAAUCCAGGGCCUCCACUGAAUGUUUUCUCCUGACACGUAGGUCCUGAAGAAUCUGCAGACAACAAUUUGCAAAGAACAAUUUGCAAACCACUGCUUGAAGCCACACCUGUGAGGAGCAGCAGAGCCCGCUGAGUCUCCUGACCAACCAGCACAAUCUGUUUAAAGCUCAUGGAGUGGUGGAAGGUCAUCUUGAAGACCCGCUGCCCGCUGGACUGCAGGUAGACCUCGACACAGUCACAGGCCUGGCUGCCAGUUGUGCCGACCACUUCCAGCUGCUCCCGAGUAGCCAGUACAUAGAGCACAACAUAGCGGCAGGCACGCUUCCACUGGAUCUGGCCAAGGGUGGAGGAGACCAGGGCAUUUUUGAGGAAGAAGAGAGUCCCCGCAUAGUCAAGAAUGAAGACGUGGUCCUUGAGAAAGGGGCCCUGGAAGGUUGGCUGGGAAUGCUGAGGUCAUCAGGCAACUCUGUGGAACAGGAGGGGUCCCAGAAUAAGGGCCGGACCCCAGAACCCUGCUCUCGUAGGCGAGGACUGAGCCUGCGACAGAUGCGUCUCCACACGCCCUCAG